GUUUGCGUUUGGUGCAGCGGUUUGAGCAUUGGACUACAAAUCUGGAGACCAGGGUUCGAAUCCCUCCUCAUCCG